rnacentral:rRNA from 1 species
CCGAAAGGAAGGCUAAUACUGCAUGAGACCACGAUUCCGGAAGGGAUUGAGGUCAAAGCCGGCCACUGUACACAAGCUGGCGCCUGAGGAUGAGCCUGCGGCCCAUCAGCUAGUUGGUAGGGUAAUGGCCUACCAAGGCGAAGACGGGUAGCUGGUCUGAGAGGAUGAUCAGCCACACUGGAACUGAGACACGGUCCAGACUCCUACGGGAGGCAGCAGUGGGGAAUCUUGCGCAAUGGGCGAAAGCCUGACGCAGCGACGCCGCGUGAGUGAUGAAGGCCUCGGUGUAAGACUCUGUGGAGGGGGACGGGAAGUAAGGGACGUGGCGUAACAUCCACGCUUGAUGACGGUACCGUCCUUUAGUCAAGCACCGGCUAACUCUGUGCCAGCAGCCGCGGUAAGACAGAGGGUGC